GGGCAGCUGGCCGGCUGAACCUUGGAGACUGUCCCGCAGUGACCAAGGCCCACUGCUGACACUGAGGUUGUUUGUGCAAAUGUGCUCCAUUUGCCAGGCGGCCUUGUUCACAGAAGAGAAACAACGGCUCUGCUGGUAAUGGGACUGAAGCAGAACCUGUCUGAACCACUGGAGGUCUAGAGUAAUAUGUGAAGUGCUCGGAAUAGCACACGGCACACAGAAAUCCCGUGGACAGAGGAGCCUGGCGGGCUGCAGCCCAGGGAGCCGCACAGAGUUGGACAUGACUGAGUGACUCACACUUUCACAUUCAUCUCUGGAGGGGCGUCACUCUGCUUGCCACAAACCUGGAAUCCAGGCCCAACCCAGCCUCUGGAGCUUCCCAGGCGAGUACCCUAGGCUGCAGGAUCUAUAAUGCGAGGUGGCCCGGCGUGGUGGUAGGGAGUGUGGGGAGCCUGGGUCUCUCAUGCAAUCCUGGGGUCUUCAUGUAAGGAGGCCCCAAGGAAGGAGGCGGGCCAGGCUUGGACAUGGGGUCUGGAGGCCCUCAGAGCACUACCCCAGCUGGCAGAGGAAAGGUGGGCCCCAAGCUGCCAGUUUCUAACAGAAGCUGGAAACCCUGGUUUUUAUGUGAAAUCUCCAGUUUUUAAGUGUUGACAAAUGAUUCAAAAUUAUGAAAAAAAAAACAAAACCUUACACACACAGCACACACACCCACACUGUAUAUGAGGUUGCGUAGAACACAUCUGAGGCCAGGUGAGGCCCACAGGCGGUGAGCUCCUGACGGCCGGCCUGCCUGGGAGAGAGCAGAGGUGAGGGCGUGCCGCGGGCAGCGGGUGCUGGACAGUCCACGGAGGAGCCUGGAGGAGGCCGAACCGCUUCCCUGGCUCCACUAGGUGGGGGCAGCCUGGACAGGGAGUGGUCGAGAAGGGGCUGGGAGGCUUCGAGGAGAUGGAGAAGCAGAGGGAAGUCACACUGUGGCCGGAUCAGUCCAGCCCCAACCCCAGCGGUGACCCCAGAGGUGACCCCAGGUGGGCAGGCUGCUGUGUGGUCUUGGACAAGUUCCCUGGCCUCUCUGCCUUCCUUUCCUCUUGUGUCCAGUUCCACGCAUUCUGUGAGCAAACCCCCGAUUUGUGCCAGGCACUGUCCGGGUCAUGGAGCGGCAUGAAGCAGGGCAAGCUCCUGCCUCCAGUGGCCAUGGCCGAGCUGGUGGCGUGGAACGGGGCCUGGGCUUAAUCACCAAGUGAGAACCGGACAGAGGAACAACGGCAACAUUCCUGCAGGCGAUAAGCAACAGAUCUCAUUAUUCCCCUGGCAGAGGGGGAAACUGAGGCACCCCGAGGGAAAGUCACUCUUCAGAGGUCACUCAAGCUUCUGACUCCCCGGUCUAGGUUCUCAAGCCACAUCCCUCCUUGGCGUCUGUAGGUCCACCAAGAAAAACGACGUGAGCAUAAAGGGGGCCGACAGCAGGCAUCCGAGCUCCAAUGUCCCCUGAGUCUCUCUGCUGUGCCAGCCCUGAGUUCAGGGGCUACGAACUCCAGUGACUUCAGGGCCCAGAGAAGACACACAGAUGAUGAAGGCGGCUGGGGUGGGGGGCAGCGUGGGCCGGGGGAGGCAGCAGCAGGGAGUGAGGGGGACGCGGUGAACAAGAAAGCCCUGGAGUUUCAACUCUGCGCCAGCCCACGGCUGCCUCAGGAAAAUGAGGGUCUCGUACUUUUAAGGUUUUCAGGCAGAAACCCAGACAUUUUAUGUGAAAUCUGUGUAUUUUUUUUAACAGAGUGGAAGAUGAGAGUCUUUUUAUUUUAGUGAUAAAUGGAAUAAAUCGAUAAUGUGCUAUGCUGGCAUCCUGGAUUUGAUAUUCCAUUUCCCCAAACCCUGAUUUUAUUGGGAUGGCAGUCAGCCAGCUAAAAGCUCUCAGCCUCCUGAAGUCCCUGUGACAGCCGGGAGCGGCUAUGUGAUCCAGUGUGGAUACGAGCUAGAGAGAAUGGCCAUCUUGCAACCACGACCAACCGUGAGGACAAGAAGGCCAAGUGAAGAAACAGGAAGAACCUGGUGCCCUGGUGGCAUCACCGAGGCACCCUAGCAGCCCAAGACGCUUACUGUUGGGCUUAGUAACAGGAGAUGAUAGAACUUACCAGUGGUGAGAUUCUUGCAGCUGAAUGCAUGCCUGCUGGAUCCACUCCCCUGCCUCUGGAUUUCUAAACUCAUGAGAAAAUACAUUUCCUUAAUGAUUAAGCAUUUUGCACCGGGUUUCCUGUCCUUGCAGUUGAAUGCAUCCUAGAGUAUCCUGCAUUUUGCAGUGAGGUGACUUCUGAUAAAUGAGAUAUGCCUGAUCUUGGACUUGACCGACAUGGGUGUUGGGGGCAGGGAUCCCGCCCACGCCUGCUGGAGAAUCAGAGGGUCAAAGAGAAGACUUCUGAUAUCCAGCGCAUCUUUCUGCCAGAACCAAAAAGACUAAGGCCUCAGGGUUUACUUCGGCUUCAGAUUAUCUGUGAAGAGUUCUUACUGAUUUGUCAGUUUGCUUAUUUGUUUUUGAAGGAAGAAAGCUAAGGUUCAAGGAGACAAAUUUAUCACCUAAGGCUCUCAGCCAGAGCGAGGUCUGCUGGUUUCUGGGAUCAUCUUCUUUUUCCUCCUCCUCUCUGGACCCAUGUCUUCCCAUCAGUAGGAUGAGAUUAACUCAAGAUCAAAGCUUUUCAAACGUUUCAUUUCAAAGUGGGCAAAACCCUUUUACAGCUGAACUCUUACUUGUUGUCCCACUCAUAAAAAAAGACAAAAGCAGCUGCUUGUCGUGGGGCGGGUCAGGAGCCUGCAGCCUCCUCCCCGGGGCCUGGGUCCACUGGCGUCUCACUGCCGCCCCGGGGUUGCAGCGGGCUUUCAGCAGACAGCAGCCCAGAUUGUCCCGAGGCCUGCAGGAAAGCCUGAGUCCAAGAGGGGAGUCUCCGAUCUUUCAAACAGUGCGAACAUGUAUCGUGGAAGACAGUCACGCACACAGCGAAACAAAACCAAAACCAAAAACUUUCGAACAGUGCAAACGGGACGAAAAGUCACCUUCCUCUCGUCUCUGACUUGCCACUCUUCCCCCAAAACACAGGGCCUUGUCCUCUGAGAGAUGGUCUGUAUGUCUCCCAAGAGAUGUAUGUACACAUACUGUCCCAUCUUGCCUUACACACACACGCACACACACACACACACACACACACUCUAGCAUCUUGUAAUCACUUUGUAUCUUUUCUCAGUUAAUGUUGCAUCUUGGCAGUUUUUCCAAAUCCGUACUCAGAGGUCUGCUUCAUUCACUUCAGUGGUUACCUGAUACUGGAAUACUAUUUAAUUUAAAAUACCCUUAUUCUUGACUAAGACGUACGAACUACUGUGAAAGUGAAAGUGCGGGUCUCUCCGUCCUGUGUGGUUCUCGGCGACCCCACGGACCGUAGCCCGCCCGGCUCCUCUGUCCUUGGAAUUCUCCAGGCAAGAUACUGGCGUGAGUUGCCAUUUCCUCUUCCAGGGGAUUUUCCUUACCCAGAGAUCGAAUCCGGGACUCUUGCAUUGCAGGCUGAUUGUUUGCCAUCUGAUCCACCAGGGAAGCCCUACAAACCACUACGAAUAGAAUAAAUAAGAUAUAAGGAUAUACUGUACAGCCAGGGAAUAUAGACAGUAUUCUAUAACAACUUUAAGUGGAGUAUAAUGUACAGAAAUAUUGAGUCUCUACACUGUAUACCUGAAACUAAUGUAAUAUUGUACACCAACCAUACCUUAAUUAAAACAAAAAUAAGAAAAGGAAAAAACAAAGAAAUGGGAUACUAAAAACAAACGAAACUUUCCUCUUCUUGGAUACUCAGGUUGCUUCCAGUCUUUUACUGUGUUAAAGAAUCCUGCAAUUUAGGUGGGAGGUGGGAGGAAGGUUCAAAAAGGCGGUGACAUAUGUAUACCUAUGGCGGACUUAUGUUGAUGUGUGGCAGAAACCAACACACUAUUGUAAAGGAAUCAUCCUUCAAAUAAAAAUCA
ensembl:lncRNA